GGGCCUAUAAUUCAGCGGUAGAAUGUCGCCCUGUGAAGGCGAAUGUCCCAGGUUCGAACCCUGGUGGGCCCA
rnacentral:tRNA from 1 species